GUGUAAACUCCUUCUAACUCUGUUUUCAAAACUGGCUGGCGUUCAAGUUGACUGUAUCCAUUUGCGUCAGCUUUUGGGCUACUUUAUUUUGGGCUGCAGUUAUGGAGAUCUAACAGCAGAGGACUCACAACCUAUUGUUAGAAACAGGGAAAUGAAUGGGGUUGGGGAAGACUAUAUCUGUGAUAUUUUGCUUAGAUGUUAUCGGUCGUUCUGUCUUUGCGCAACCCUUGCUUAUAGUCUCACAGUGGUGCAAAGCCCACCCUGGUACUGAGAGUUAACAGGAGCCUGAGUGCUCAGUCAACCCACCAGCUGGCACUUGGGCACUAAACAGGUUGAUUAUCGGGUCCACCUGGAAAGGAGUCGGGUUUCCCGAGAGAGCUCAGUUAGGGGAGACCCAGGAGAGGGGAAGUUUGUGUGUGUUGUGACUGGGAUGGCAGAAAUCAGGAGACUUGGGAAAAGCCUGAGAAAGCAGAAUGAGCUCCUAUGGGGCAUGACUCUUGGGAAGCAAUCCUUGAGUGCUGGUGCUCAGGGGUACUGGGCUGGAACUCAGAGAAGAGAGCGGGCCUGGGUUCCCCUACCAGCCACUGGAAAAGGUGAUGUGACGACCCUGGAGAGCCUGAGACCUGGUUGGAGGGCCCAGUCAUGAGAGGAAGCAGACCACUGCAGGGCUGGAGUGACCGCCAGCAGGGGGUGCUAGAUGAAGAGAGCCUGCUAUGUUAUGCCCAGCUAUGGGGAGGUGAAUCAGCGAAUUUCCAUGGGGAUGGCAAAUGGCAUCUAUGAUAGCAGCGAGAGACACACAGCCAAAUUUCAAGCCCCUGCUACAAACCAUGGAGGCAUUCGAGCUUCUCGAGGAAGAUGCUAAGGUUUUUAAAACAAAAACAAAAAAACUACACAUGGGCAAGGCAAUAUUUUCCCUAGCUUUGUUCUUGGAAGUAGAUGAACCAUAUUAGCUGAAAUUUUCAAAAACAUUCAGGCUGAGGCAGACACUUGGCAUGGAAGAUUUUUGCCUGAAAAGUUAACAUUUGGCAAUGUUAUAAGCAACUGAAAACAGGGUCUUAUAAUGGUAAAUGAUGGAUGAUGACGACUAUUGCCAGCACUACCAGCUUCACCUAUUAUUUAGUUUUUCCUACCUCAAAAUCCUUUGGGUGGAACAUGUUCCUGAUGAUGAUAACACGCUCAUGUCGCUUUCGAACUGUACCAUCUUUCUUCUCAGGCCUCCAAUCCAACUGUCUAAUGAAAUGAAGCAAUAGUAAGACAUUAUUGCACCUUUCUUCAGGUUCUACAAGUAUUUGUUGAAAAAAAAAUCAUUAAUUUAACAUACAGAUUUCAGUAGUGAUAGCUACUUUGGUUCUAAAAAAUUAUUUAAAUGUUCUAGAAAAUAGAAUAGAAAGGUGAUCAGCAAGUUAAUCACUGUCCUCUAGCAAAGCAGCUUCAAAUACCAUAAACAUGCACAAGAAUGUCAUAAUACAGAGACAAGCCAAAUUUAACUUCAGCAGUCAGCGAACAUUCAGAAAUAUUCUGUAGGCUGCAGCUGAACAUGGGAUAAGAAAAGUAGGCAGACUACAUAACUGGGCUAUUAAGUACCUUGAACGAUUUAGGACAAAAUAUUUGAAGUCACCUAAUGUUACAGUUCAGACUAGAACUCACUUAAAAGAAACGUUAACAGAAUACCAACUUUAAAGUACAACAAACAUCUAAAGAUUCCCAAAAAGGUAAUUCACCUCCACAUAAGAAAUUUUUUAAAAUAAAAACAUUUGAAUGCUGAAGGCAGAUAUCCGUGUAUAAACAGGCAAAAAUAGAAAGCAGUGUACUUAUUCAUUUACUAAUUGGAACUUCAUGCUAACUGCUCUAGAAUUGUACAUGUAAUGCAAUUAUUAAAUUUAACUAACAGUAACAUACAGAAAGCUAAACAGUCCUGUCUCCUUACAGGAUCAAUGUUAAUCACAAAAGAUUAAAGUGACUCUACAGGGUUCGGUAGAUUCAAUAAAUCAGGAAGAGAAACUUCCAUCACGUUUGAAAAAAACAAAACCACACACCAACACUUUCUGCCUAUCAGCUGUAACACUCCGUCCGGAAGAAAGUAAUGGAAGUCUUUGAUUUUCUAUGGACUCCAACCAAACAUGACAAUCCAAGGGACUUUCAAGAUGCCAGCAUUUAACUUAUACUCCUCACCCCACCCCAAUGAAAUAACUCUAAACCUAAUCUUUGAUCUUUCAUGGUUGGUAUAACAUUGAAUAAAUGACUAUGAAAAACUGUUUUAGCUAAGACAUUUAGAAAAAACAUUUUACUGAAAGAAGUUACAAACUUUUGUU